rnacentral:tRNA from 1 species
GCUUAGUGGGUUGAGUGUCUGACUCUUGAUUUUGGCUCAGGUCAUGAUCUCGUGGGUUCAAGCCCCACACUGGGCU